GAUGAACGCUGGCGGCGUGCCUAGUACAUGCAAGUCGAGCGAACGGACGAGAAGCUUGCUUCUCUGAUGUUAGCGGCGGACGGGUGAGUAACACGUGGAUAACCUACCUAUAAGACUGGGAUAACUUCGGGAAACCGGAGCUAAUACCGGAUAAUAUUUUGAACCGCAUGGUUCAAAAGUGAAAGACGGUCUUGCUGUCACUUAUAGAUGGAUCCGCACUGCAUUAGCUAGUUGGUAAGGUAACGGCUUACCAAGGCAACGAUGCAUAGCCGACCUGAGAGGGUGAUCGGCCACACUGGAACUGAGACACGGUCCAGACUCCUACGGGAGGCAGCAGUAGGGAAUCUUCCGCAAUGGGCGAAAGCCUGACGGAGCAACGCCGCGUGAGUGAUGAAGGUCUUCGGAUCGUAAAACUCUGUUAUUAGGGAAGAACAUAUGUGUAAGUAACUGUGCACAUCUUGACGGUACCUAAUCAGAAAGCCACGGCUAACUACGUG
rnacentral:rRNA from 1 species